rnacentral:misc_RNA from 1 species
GAUGAAGAACGCAGCGAAAUGCGAUAAGUAAUGUGAAUUGCAGAAUUCAGUGAAUCAUCGAAUCUUUGAACGCACAUUGCGCCCGCCAGUAUUCUGGCGGGCAUGCCUGUUCGAGCGUCAUUUCAACCAUCAAGCCCCAGGCUUGUGUUGGGGACCUGCGGCUGCCGCAGGCCCUGAAAACCAGUGGCGGGCUCGCUGUCACACCGGGCGUAGUAGAUUUAUCUCGCUCAGGGCGUGCUGCGGGUUCCGGCCGUUAAAAAGCCUUUUUUACCCAAGGUUGACCUCGGAUCAGGUAGGAAGACCCGCUGAACUUAAGCAUAUCAAUAAGCGGAGGA